UACGGAGGGUGCAAGCGUUAUCCGGAUUUACUGGGUUUAAAGGGUGUGUAGGCGGGCUAUUAAGUCAGUGGUGAAGUCUCCGGGCUCAACCCGGAAACUGCCAUUGAUACUAUUAGUCUUGAAUUUUGUUGAGGUAGGCGGAAUAAGUCAUGUAGCGGUGAAAUGCAUAGAUAUGACUUAGAACACCAAUUGCGAAGGCAGCUUACUAAGCAAAUAUUGACGCUGAGGCACGAAAGCGUGGGGAUCAAACAGG
rnacentral:rRNA from 1 species